GCCAGGUGUGGUGGUGCACGCCUGUAGUCCCAGCUACUCAGGAGGCUGAGGCAGGAGAAUCGCUUGAACCUGGGAGGUGGAGUUUGCAGUGAGCCAAGAUUGCACCACUGCACUCCAGCCUGGGCAACAGAGCGAGACUCUGUCUCAA
rnacentral:SRP_RNA from 1 species